AUUGAACGCUAGCGGGAUGCUUUACACAUGCAAGUCGAACGAGUGGCGGACGGGUGAGUAAUAAAUCGGAACGUGACCAGUAGAGGGGGAUAACUACUCGAAACAAGGGCUAAUACCGCCUACUAUUGGAGCGGCCGAUAUAGGAUUAGCUAGUUGGUGGGGUAAAGGCUCACCAAGGCAACGAACCGGAGCUGGUUUGAGAGGACGACCAGCCACACUGGGACUGAGACACGGCCCAGACUCCUACGGGAGGCAGCAGUGGGGAAUUUUGGACAAUGGGGGAAACCCUGAUCCAGCCAUCCCGCGUGUAUGAGAAGGCCUUCGGGUUGUAAAGUACUUUUGGCAGAGAAGCGGUAUCUGCAGAAUAAGCACCGGCUAACUACGUGCCAGCAGCCGCGGUAAUUC
rnacentral:rRNA from 1 species